AUUGAACGCUGGCGGCAUGCCUUACACAUGCAAGUCGAACGGUAACGGGCCUUCGGGUGCCGACGAGUGGCGAACGGGUGAGUAAUGUAUCGGAACGUACCUUUCAGUGGGGGAUAACGUAGCGAAAGUUACGCUAAUACCGCAUAUUCUGUGAGCAGGAAAGCAGGGGAUCGCAAGACCUUGCGCUGAUUGAGCGGCCGAUAUCAGAUUAGCUAGUUGGUGAGGUAAAGGCUCACCAAGGCGACGAUCUGUAGCGGGUCUGAGAGGAUGAUCCCCCACACUGGAACUCAGACACGGUCCAGACUCCUACGGGAGGCAGCAGUGGGGAAUUUUGGACAAUGGGGGCAACCCUGAUCCAGCCAUGCGGCGUGAGUGAAGAAGGCCUUCGGGUUGUAAAGCUCUUUCGGCCGGGAAGAAAUCGUAUCAGCUAAUACCUGGUGCGGAUGACGGUACCGGCAUAAGAAGCACCGGCUAACUACGUGCCAGCAGCCGCAGUAACAC
rnacentral:rRNA from 1 species